CAUUGCAAUGAGUGGCGAACGGGUGAGUAACACGUGGGAAACCUACCUCUUAGCAGGGGAUAACAUUUGGAAACAAAUGCUAAUACCGUAUAAUAAUUAAAACCGCAUGGUUUUAGUUUAAAAGAUGGUCUUGCUAUCACUAAGAGAUGGUCCCGCGGUGUAUUAGUUAGUUGGUGAGGUAAUGGCUCACCAAGACAAUGAUACAUAGCCGAGUUGAGAGACUGACCGGCCACAAUGGGACUGAGACACGGCCCAUACUCCUACGGGAGGCAGCAGUAGGGAAUCUUCCACAAUGGACGAAAGUCUGAUGGAGCAACGCCGCGUGUGUGAUGAAGGGUUUCGGCUCGUAAAACACUGUUGUAAGAGAAGAAUGACAUUGAGAGUAACUGUUCAAUGUGUGACGGUAUCUUACCAGAAAGGAACGGCUAAAUACGUGCCAGCAGCCGCGGUAAUACGUAUGUUCCAAGCGUUAUCCGGAUUUAUUGGGCGUAAAGCGAGCGCAGACGGUUAUUUAAGUCUGAAGUGAAAGCCCUCGGCUCAACCGAGGAAUUGCUUUGGAAACUGGAUAACUUGAGUGCAGUAGAGGAAAGUGGAACUCCAUGUGUAGCGGUGAAAUGCGUAGAUAUAUGGAAGAACACCAGUGGCGAAGGCGGCUUUCUGGACUGUAACUGACGUUGAGGCUCGAAAGUGUGGGUAGCAAACAGGAUUAGAUACCCUGGUAGUCCACACUGUAAACGAUGAGUGCUAGUUGUUCGAGGGUUUCCGCCCUUGAGUGACGAAGCUAACGCAUUAAGCACUCCGCCUGGGGAGUACGACCGCAAGGUUGAAACUCAAAGGAAUUGACGGGGACCCGCACAAGCGGUGGAGCAUGUGGUUUAAUUCGAAGCAACGCGAAGAACCUUACCAGGUCUUGACAUCCUUUGACCACUCCAGAGAUGGAGCUUUCCCUUCGGGGACAAAGUGACAGGUGGUGCAUGGUUGUCGUCAGCUCGUGUCGUGAGAUGUUGGGUUAAGUCCCGCAACGAGCGCAACCCUUUAUUGUUAGUUGCCAGCAUUUAGUUGGGCACUCUAGCAAGACUGCCGGUGACAAACCGGAGGAAGGCGGGGAUGACGUCAAAUCAUCAUGCCCCUUAUGACCUGGGCUACACACGUGCUACAAUGGCAAGUACAACGAGUCGCCAACCCGCGAGGGUGCGCAAAUCUCUUAAAGCUUGUCUCAGUUCGGACUGUAGGCUGCAACUCGCCUACACGAAGUCGGAAUCGCUAGUAAUCGCGGAUCAGCACGCCGCGGUGAAUACGUUCCCGGGUCUUGUACACACCGCCCGUCACACCAUGAGAGUUUGUAACACCCAAAGUCGGUGAGGUAACCUU
rnacentral:rRNA from 1 species